CAUGAAGGAAACCCAUACGAAAUUGAGGGAUCAAUGCAUAUGCCUCAUCGUAGGUUAUACGUUGGAUAUCCUGUUGAUCUGAAACAUCAACAAGGAUCUAGCAGAUACAUUGGAACAAGAAUUUUUAAAACACUUUUAGCUCCGUAUAGAUUUCAGUCUCUUACAGAGGCUGUCAUCUAUGUUGUACUGCUAAGGAGUCCUGAAUACAAUAGGAAUGAUGUGGCAGAUCAGUGACCACAUCUGUUUCAGUCUGAUUCUCCAAUGGCUUGCAACCCAAGGAAAAUGCUAGUAUUGGAAAAUUCCUUGUCAUCUGCUGACACUGUGAAAUAUACAAGAGCUAGUGGUGUUUCUCAGUCCUCAUGACCUGGAAAGAGGUCAAGCUUGCUCUGGACAUGAUCUGCUAUUUGAUGGUUUGCUGCAGAUUAGAACAGAACAACCAUAUGCCAAACAAAUCCAGGUUAAACUUCACCUUUGCAUGCUCUUUACUCCAAAUAUACACAAGAUAUUAGUUUAACUUCUUGAUAUACAGACUUAAUCUCUUCAUAUUGCUGGAAUAUUCACUUUACUGAGCAGGAGUGAAAUAAGCAGGUUUGAAUGUGUCCUUUUGACACCAAUGCAAAAGCAUGCAUAGGAUGGUGCAUCUAAAUAGAAGAAUUUUAAUACAUUUCACGUAAUUAUAUUUCUAUCCUAUAUCUUUUCAAUUUAUUCUUCUGGAUUAGCAGGUUGAUAUUCUAAUUGUUAGUAUCACAUUCAUACUCAUUACUACAUGAAAGCUAAAUGCCCAGCAUAGUAUCAAAAACAAGUGUGGAUGAGAACAUAGAAAGGUUUCUGUUGACCCAGCUGGGGUAGUUCUGUACAGGAUCAAGAUGGAAACACAGCAAGUAAUUUAAAUAACUAGACUGAUAUCAGUUGUAUUUUCUCCUUGCAAUAUAUAGUACUAAUGUUGCAUUGCAUGAUGAAAUGAGACCAAAGCAAUCAAUUCCUGUCAGGUAAAUUUAGCUUAAUGUUUAUCAUGGGAAAUCCAAUAAAAUGCUGUAGAUAUUUACAAUUGAAUAUGAGGUUUACAAAAUUAUUAAAUUAUUGGAUAUGAUCCUGUUUUCACUGUAAGGAAUAAUACCUAAGGAUUUCAGUAAGACAGAAUUUACUCAUUCUGGAACCAGGCAUAUCUUUUGAUUAGUUGUCAUUCUAUCUAAACUGGAGUUAAAUAAAAUUUAAGAUGAAAAAUACAUAAAGAAACAUGGGGGCAUGACUCUAUAAAGUUGCUGUAGGUCUUAUUGAGUGUAAAUACAGUAAUUUGCUCUUUUGUAUUGAACCCAUAUGAGUUUUGGCUGAAUAAACAAAUAUUGAUUCAGCAGUUGCAAAGGAAUUUAAGCCCCAGAUCUCAAUCAUAAUUUCACUUUUGUUUUAUAUCGAUGGAUCUAUUUCUGAUAGAUAGUGGAAAAGUCAAUUCUUUGAUUUAAUGUGGUUAGAGUGAAGCUUGGGAGAGAGUAAUUUGUCUCCAAUUUGUCUGCUAAGCAAAGUUUCAUGAAAGAAAUGCUGGUUUGUUGAAUCUAUUUUCUUCAAAGUACAAACAUGAUGAAGUACAAACAAAAAUGACAAACCUUUACCAAAUCAUUGCAGAUUUCUAAAACAAACUCUA